rnacentral:rRNA from 1 species
UACAGAGGUCUCAAGCGUUAUUCGGAAUCACUGGGCUUAAAGGGCGCGUAGGCGGGCCGCCAGGUCCGGGGUGAAAUCCUGGAGCUCAACUCCAGAACUGCCUUUGAUACUGAGGAUCUUGAGUUCGGGAGAGGUGAGUGGAACUGCGAGUGUAGAGGUGAAAUUCGUAGAUAUUCGCAAGAACACCAGUGGCGAAGGCGGCUCACUGGCCCGAUACUGACGCUGAGGCACGAAAGCGUGGGGAGCAAACAGG